UACGUAGGGGGCUAGCGUUGUCCGGAUUUAUUGGGCGUAAAGAGCGUGUAGGCGGCCAGGUAGGUCUGCUGUGAAAACUCGAGGCUCAACCUCGAGAUGUCGGCGGAAACCAUCUGGCUAGAGUCCGGUAGGGGAGCGUGGAAUUCCUGGUGUAGCGGUGAAAUGCGCAGAUAUCAGGAGGAACACCAGCGGCGAAGGCGGCGCUCUGGGCCGGUACUAACACUGAGGAGCGAAAGCGUGGGUAGCAAACAGG
rnacentral:rRNA from 1 species